UGGGGAAUAUUGGCACAAUGGGCGCAAGGCCUGAUGCCAGCAACGCCGCGUGAGGGAUGACGGCCUUCGGGCUUGUAAAACCUCUUUUAGUAGGGAAGAAGCGAAAGUGACGGUACCUGCAGAAAAAGCACCGGCUAACUACGUGCCAGCAGCCGCGGUAAUACGUAGGGUGCGAGCGUUGUCCGGAAUUAUUGGGCGUAAAGAGCUCGUAGGCGGUCUGUCGCGUCUGCUGUGAAAACCCCGAGGCUCAACCUCGGGCCUGCAGUGGGUACGGGCAGACUAGAGUGCGGUAGGGGAGAAUGGAAUUCCUGGUGUAGCGGUGGAAUGCGCAGAUAUCAGGAGGAACACCGAUGGCGAAGGCAGUUCUCUGGGCCGUAACUGACGCUGAGGAGCGAAAGCGUGGGGAGCGAACAGGAUUAGAUACCCUGGUAGUCCACGCCGUAAACGUUGGGCGCUAGAUGUGGGGACCAUUCCACGGUUUCCGUGUCGCAGCUAACGCAUUAAGCGCCCCGCCUGGGGAGUACGGCCGCAAGGCU
rnacentral:rRNA from 1 species